UACAGAGGUCUCAAGCGUUGUUCGGAUUCAUUGGGCGUAAAGGGUGCGUAGGUGGCGCUGUAAGUCGGGUGUGAAAUUUCGGAGCUUAACUCCGAAACUGCAUUCGAUACUGCGGUGCUUGAGGACUGGAGAGGAGACUGGAAUUUAUGGUGUAGCAGUGAAAUGCGUAGAGAUCAUAAGGAAGACCAGUGGCGAAGGCGGGUCUCUGGAAAGUUCCUGACACUGAGGCACGAAGGCCAGGGGAGCAAACGGG
rnacentral:rRNA from 1 species